GACGAACGCUGGCGGCGUGCCUAACACACGCAAGUUGAGCGACGAACCAGGGCUUGCCCUGGGGCAAAGCAGCGAACGGGUGAGUAACACGUGGGUAACCUACCCCGAUAACCGGGACAACCCGAGGAAACUCGGGCUAAUACCGGAUGUGCUCACUGGACUUCGGUUCAGUGCGUAAAGGAAGCUUCGGCCUCCGUAUCGGGAGGGGCCCGCGGCCCAUUAGUUUGUUGGUGAGGUAACGGCUCACCAAGACCGCGAUGGGUAGCUGGUCUGAGAGGACGAUCAGCCACACUGGGACUGAGACACGGCCCAGACUCCUACGGGAGGCAGCAGUGGGGAAUCUUGCGCAAUGCGCGAAAGCGUGACGCAGCAACGCCGCGUGGGGGAAGAAGGCCUUCGGGUUGUAAAACCCUUUCAGGAGGGACGAAGGUUCGGCGGUGAAUAGCCGUCCGGACUGACGGUACCUCCACAAGAAGCCCCGGCUAACUACGUG
rnacentral:rRNA from 1 species